rnacentral:rRNA from 1 species
UCGAAGCUAACGCCGUUAAGUUGACCGCCUGGGAGUACGGCCGCAAGGUUGAAACUCAAAGGAAUUGACGGGGGCCCGCACAAGCGGUGGGAGGCAUGUUGGUUUAAUUCGAUGCAACGCGGAAGAACCUUACCAGCCCUUGACAAUCCUGGGAACUUACUAGAGAUAGUUUGGUGGCUCUCGGGAAUCCAGGUGAACAGGUGCUGCAUGGCUGUCGUCAGCCUCGUGGUCGUGAGAUGUUGGGUUAAGUCCCGCAACGGAGCGCAACCCUUAUCCUUAGUUGCCAGCACGUAAUGGUGGGAACUCUAAGGAGACUGCCGGUGAUAAACCGGAGGAAGGUGGGGAUGACGUCAAGUCAUCAUGGGCCUUAUGGGCUGGGCUACACACGUGCUACAAUGGUCGGUACAGAGGGUCGCGAUCCCGCGAGGGGGAGCCAAUCCCAGAAAACCGAUCUUAGUCCGGAUCGCAGUCUGCAACUCGACUGCGUGAAGUCGGAAUCGCUAGUAAUCGCGAAUCAGCAAUGUCGCGGUGAAUACGUUCCCGGGCCUUGUACACACCGCCCGUCACACCAUGGGAGUGGUUGCACCAGAAGUAGCUAGC